rnacentral:rRNA from 1 species
UUGGAGGGCAAGUCUGGUGCCAGCAGCCGCGGUAACUCCAGCUCCAAUAGCGUAUAUUAAAGUUGCUGCAGAUAAAAAGCUCGUAGUUGAAUUUCGGGACCAUCAUGUCGGUCGUGCCUCGGUACGUACUGGUAUUGUUGGUUUCUCCCUUCUGACGAACCAUGAUGUCAUUUAUUUGGUGUUGUGGGGAAUCAGGACUGUUACUUUGAAAAAAUUAGAGUGUUUAAAGCAGGCUCACGCUUGAAUACAUUAGCAUGGAAUAAUGAAAUAGGACGUUUGAUUCUAUUUUGUUGGUUUCUAGGAUCGACGUAAUGAUUAAUAGGGAUAGUUGGGGGCAUUAGUAUUCAAUUGUCAGAGGUGAAAUUCUUGGAUUUAUUGAAGACUAACUACUGCGAAAGCAUUUGCCAAGGAUGUUUUCAUUAAUCAAGAACGAAGGUUAGGGGAUCGAAGACGAUCAGAUACCGUCGUAGUCUUAACCAUAAACUAUGCCGACUAGGGAUCGGAUGAUGUUAAUUUUUUAAUGACUCAUUCGGCGCCUUACGGGAAAC